UACAGAGGUGGCAAGCGUUGUUCGGAAUUACUGGGCGUAAAGGGCGCGUAGGCGGUCUUGCAAGUCCUGUGUGAAAUCCCUCGGCUCAACUGAGGAACUGCACAGGAAACUGCUUGGCUUGAGUUCGGGAGAGGGAAGCGGAAUUCCGGGUGUAGCGGUGAAAUGCGUAGAUAUCCGGAGGAACACCGGUGGCGAAGGCGACUUCCUGGACCGAGACUGACGCUGAGGCGCGAAAGCUAGGGGAGCAAACGGG
rnacentral:rRNA from 1 species